UGAACAUUUAAUGUUUAUAUUCUAAAAACGUUAAGAUGUGCAGUUCCCUUGUUGUGAUUAGAACAUUAUUUAAUGUACAAUAACGCUUCUCUGAAUGUUUAUCAAGUAUAAAUAACAUCAUAAGGACAUUCUGAGAAUGUCGAUGUCAGAAUGUUUUUUCUCAAUCAUGUAAAGUAACAUCAUGAGAACAUUCCAAAAACAUUUUCUCUCAAUGUUAUGAGAAUUGAUUAAUUAAAUCAUAAGAAAGUUCCAUAAACAUUACUUUAAGAACAUUUUGUCUUAUUAUUUAUAAAAACGUUAGCUGUAUUCCCAAAAGUGUGAAGGUCCUGUAAAGGUCAGCUUCAUCCGGCAUAUACUGCAGUUUAUUGAUGUUCCUGUAGAAGUGCUGCUUUGCUCCUUAAUCAUUCAGAAAGUGCUGUUUAUAUCUGAAGUGUCACACUGUGCUAAGCUCUGCGAGUGUGGAAGCUGUUUGCAGGCCGCAGCGGGACACAGAUGAAAGCAUCAGCACUGCUGGCGUCUGGGUCAGCAGUCCUGUCACAGCGGGUCACAGUGACUGGACGUCCCGGCCUGAUUUCAGACCAGAAGCUGCAGGCCUGCAUUCAGGCUCUUCUCUGGUGAAAAAUCGUUUGAGGGAAAAUGCCACCAAACACAUCAGAUAUCAGCUACUGGUCUCAACACCGCAGAGGAAAUGAAGGCCGUAAUGAGCGAUCUGUUUAACAGUCUGUCAUCAGAUCUGGAAUCAGCGGCCGUGAACCCGUCACCUUCACGUCUACAGCAAACGCUCAAGUCUUGGAUCUGUGUGUUGGUACUGUAUUGUUCUGCUUGAACCUUGGGUUGGAGAGAUGCUCUAAUUUGUGAGGAAAGAGUCCUGCUGCUUUGGCACCGUUGCCUGGAUACCGCAUCCACCUGGAGCAGCAUAUGGCCACAGCAUGUUGUGCUCCGUGAGAAAUAAGCGGAACGCCAAAACAUCCCAGUGUGGUGAUGUAAAACGCCUUACAAGAGUUUUGCAAGAAGCAGAAAUCGUGUGUUGACUGAGAAUGCAUGACAUAUGAACCUAGUCCUCAAACAACAAGAAGAACCACAGCAAUUGGAAGGAUCUUGAAUUACAGCAUGAGGAGGGUUGUUAAAACAAAAG
ensembl:lncRNA